GUCUACGGCCAUACCACCCUGAACGCGCCCGAUCUCGUCUGAUCUCGGAAGCUAAGCAGGGUCGGGCCUGGUUAGUACUUGGAUGGGAGAAAUAGUGCCUCUUCUUCCUCCACUGUGGCAGGUCUUCGCUAGAGU
rnacentral:rRNA from 1 species